AUGGAAUUCAUAAGCCUGUGGCCUCGGGUCCAGGACGUGCAGCUACAAGAAGGGACCCCGGACACCAUUAGCUGGGCUUGGGAGCGGGAUGGCCAUUACUCUGCUCGAUCGGCAUAUGCCGCUAAGUUCAUGGGAAGAUAGCUAGUCCCAACCGCAGAGGCAACAUGGAAGUGUCGGGCCCCCCUGCAGUGCCGUUUUUUCACAUGGCUCGCGAUACGCAACAGGUGCUAGACCUCGGACCGCUUGGCGAGGAGGGGACUGCCACACCAACAAUCAUGCCCACUUUGUAGCCAGGGCGGCGAGACAAUGAACCACAUUAUGCUCUAGUGCGUCUUCGCAAGGACCUUCUGGGAGGAGAUCUUCCAUGCUUUGGGGAUGCCGCAAUGGACGCCGACUCCACAAGACACCCUGUCGGAGUGGAUCCUCAACAAGCGGGUACAAGGCACCAAUGAGAAGCAUGUGAGGGCCAUCAUUAUACUUGGCCUAUGGGAACUGUGGAAGCACCGCAAUGGGAUUGUGUUUGACGGUGAAACACCAUGCUUGGGUAGAUUACUAGCAUGGGUCCUUAGUGAGGGCAAGGCUUGGAAGACGGCGGGCCUCCUGAAAGCGGAUUUGGGAGAACUUUUCAGGCGGAUACAUAGGUGGGAGUCUAGUGAAACGUAG
rnacentral:rRNA from 1 species